GUCAUAUGCUUGUCUCAAAGAUAAGCCAUGCAUGUCUCAGUACAAGCCAAAUUAAGGUGAAACCGCGAAAGGCUCAUUAAAUCAGUUAUGGUUCCUUAGAUCGUACCCACAAUUACUUGGAUAACUGUGGUAAUUCUAGAGCUAAUACAUGCAAACAGAGCUCCGACCGGAGACGGAAGGAGUGCUUUUAUUAGAUCAAAACCAAUCGGUGGCGGGUUCGCCCGUCAUCGUACAACUUGGUGACUCUGAAUAACUUUACGCUGAUCGCACGGUCAUCGCACCGGCGACGCAUCUUUCAAAUGUCUGCCUUAUCAACUGUCGAUGGUAGGUUCUGCGCCUACCAUGGUUGUAACGGGUAACGGGGAAUCAGGGUUCGAUUCCGGAGAGGGAGCCUGAGAAACGGCUACCACAUCCAAGGAAGGCAGCAGGCGCGCAAAUUACCCACUCCCGGCACGGGGAGGUAGUGACGAAAAAUAACGAUACGGGACUCAUCCGAGGCCCCGUAAUCGGAAUGAGUACACUCUAAACCCUUUAACGAGGAUCAAUUGGAGGGCAAGUCUGGUGCCAGCAGCCGCGGUAAUUCCAGCUCCAAUAGCGUAUAUUAAAGUUGUUGCGGUUAAAAAGCUCGUAGUCGAAUUUGUGUUUCGCGCCGCCGGUUCAUCGUCCGCGGUGUUAACUGGCGAGUCGCGAGACGUCCUGCCGGUGGGCUUAGCUCGCGAGGGCGGCCCAACUCAAUCCUGCCGCGGUGCUCUUCAUUGAGUGUCGAGGUGGGCCGGCACGUUUACUUUGAACAAAUUAGAGUGCUUAAAGCAGGCUAAAACUUCGCCUGAAUACUGUGUGCAUGGAAUAAUGGAAUAGGACCUCGGUUCUAUUUUGUUGGUUUUCGGAACCCCGAGGUAAUGAUUAAUAGGAACGGAUGGGGGCAUUCGUAUUGCGACGUUAGAGGUGAAAUUCUUGGAUCGUCGC
rnacentral:rRNA from 1 species